UUUUUUUUUUUUUUUUUUUUUUUUUUUCAGCCACACCAGCAACAUAUGGGAUUUACCAGGCCAGGGAUCGAAUCCAAGCUGGAGCUGCAACCUAUGCCACAGCUUUGGCAACACUGGAUCCUUAACCCACUGCACUGGGCCAGUGCCUCCACAGAGACAAGCCAGAUUAUUAAUCCAAUGCACCAAAACAGGAACUCCAGGAUUUUGUUUUUAAGAACUAAAAUCUAAACUGAAUUGCAUCUUAUACAAUAACCAUAAUUAGGAUAGCCAAAAAUUCAAAAUUAAAAAAAAAUUCCAAGAAAGCUUUGUCAACAGUACUACUUCCCAAUAUGCACUAUGCUGGAGUGUGUUCUCCAAAAUAAUUAAGUACCCCUGAGUGAUGGUACUUUUAAGCACUUUUAUUUUUGAACAUCAAAGGCAGAAAAGUGGGUUAGAAACAUUAGGUGGUUUUCGCCUGAAGGCAAUAAUUUCAUCAGCACGGCAUAUUCUCAGCUCAGAAUCUGGGCUCCCUACACAAUGAAGACCAAUUACUCUGUCUGCCUUAUAGGCAAAUAUUUACUUGAUGUGUGGAAAUAUGGCACUAAUAGAGUUGAUAAUAAAGGUCUGUUUAUAGUGGCUAGUCAGUUGAUCUUUCGAAGUCAAAAUAAAAUAGUCUUCCAUAAAGCAGACUGGGAAAUAGGGCAAAUAUAAAGGCACUUUCUUUCAUUCACAAGGAACUGUAAUCUCAAAUAUCUUUCACUGCAGAUGCUCCAAAAAUAGCAGUAGCAUGAGAGCCAAUUUUUACCAUAUGGAAGACCCAAACUUCAAGUGCUCUUCAAGUAAAAUGAUGUCAAUUUCUAGACAGGUUGAAGACUCCUCCAACUGAAAGGAAAAAUGUUCACAUAUAAUCUCCCCGAUGUCUAAAAAGAUUUAGGGGUGCUGUAGUGUGUGAGUGUGCAGGCUGAAACCACUGCAAAUAUUUUUCCAAUAAGUAGGGAGCCAGCUUGAUAAAGAGGCAAAUAUACAACAGAGAAGUAGAGCAAAACACUCUAGAGUACCCAACUCUGAAUUUCCUUAUUUGUGAGUCAAUAAAUUUAUGUCAUUAUUUAUUUAUUUAUUUAUUUAUUUUGUCUUUUUAGGGCUGCACCCGAAGCACAUGGAGAUUAAACAACAUGCUAUUAAAAAAACAGUAUUUCAAUGAAAAAAAAAUCAAAGGGAAAUCAGAAAAUACCUCAAGACUAAAGAAAAUGGAAACACAACACUCCAAAACCUAUGUGAUAUAGCAAAAGCAGUUUUAAGAGAGAAAUUUACAGCAGUACAGGCCUUCCUCAAGAAAUAAGAAAACUCUGAAAUAAACCACCUAAAAGAACAAGAAAAAAAAAGAAAUAACAAAUCCCAAAGUCAACGGAAGGAAGGAGAUAAGAAAGAUCAUAGAGGAAGUAAAUAUAGAUCAGAAAUCCAAUAGGACAGAUCAAUGAAACCAAGAACUUUUUUUUUUUAAGAUAAACAAAAUUGAUAAACCUUAAACAGGCUCAUUAAGAAGAAAGGAGAGAGGACUCAAAACAAAAUAAAUGAAAGAAGAGAAAUAACUGAUACCACAGACACACACACACAAAUCACAAUACUACUAACAGCUAUAUGCCAACAAAUUGGACAAUGCAUAAGAAACAAAUUUCCAGAAAUAUGAAACCUGUCAACUGAGCCAAGAAGAAAGAGACAAUGUGAACAGAACAAUCAUUAGCAGUGAAAUUGAAUCUGUAAUGUAAAAAACUCUAGGCAAACAAAAGUCCUGGACCAGAUGGCCUCACAGGGGAAUUCUACCAAAACAUCUAAAGAAUAAUUAAUACCUAUCCUCAAACUAUUCCAAAAAGUUGAAGAGGGCAGAACACUUGCAAAUUCAUUCUACAAGGCCACCAUUACCCUGAUACCAAAGCCAGUCAAAGACACUACAAAAAAAAGAGAAAAUUACAGGUAAUAUCUUUGAUGAAUAUGGAUACAGAAAUCCUCAACAAACUAUUAGGAACUAUAUGUAACAAUAUAUAAAAAGGAUCAUAUACAAUAAUCAGGUUGGAUUCAUUCCAGGGACACAAGGAUGGUUCAAUAUAUGCAAAUCAAUGUGCAAUACCACAUUAAGAAAAGGAAGGAUAGGAGUUCCCUCUCGUGGCUCAAUGGGUUAAGGAUCUGGCAUUGUCAUUGCUUGUGGCUCUGUUCACAGCUAUAGCAUGGGUUUGAUCCCUGGCCUGGGAACUUACACAUGCCUCAGGUGCAAUCAAAAAAAUUUUUUUAAAUACUAAAUAAUAAAAGGAAGGAUAAAAAUCACAUAAUCAUCUCAAUAGAUGCAGUAAUAGCUUUGACAACAUUCAACAUCCAUUCAUGAUAAAAACUCUCCUCAAAGUGGGUAUAGAGGGAACAUAUCUCAACAUAAUAGAGGCCAUUAUAACAAGCCCACAAACAUUGUACUCAGUAGUAAAAAGCUUGAAAGCCUUUUCUCUAAAUUCAUGAAAAAGACAAGGAUGCCCAUUCUUGCUACUUCUGUUAAACAUACUUACGGAAGUCCUAGCCACAGUUAUCAGACAAGAAAAAGAAAAGGCAUCCAAAUUGAAAGAAAAAAUAUAAAAGCAUCACUAUUUGCAGACGACUGGUUACUUUAUACAGAAAAUCAUAAAGUCUCCACCAAAAGAAACCAUUAGAAUAAAAGAAUUCAGCAAAGUUGCAGGAUACCAGGUUAAUAUACAGAAACAUGCUACCAGAGGUCCCACUAUUAUACAGUGGGUUAAGAACCUGACUGCAGUGGUUCCAAUCUCCGGGUCAAUCCCUGGCCUGGCACAUUAGUUGCUGCAGCUGUGGGGUAGGCCAAUCCCUGGCCCAGGAACUUCCAUAUGCCACAGUGCAGCAAAAAAAAAAAAAAAAAAAAAAAAA
rnacentral:lncRNA from 1 species